UCCUCAUCUUAUCAUCCUUCUCCAUCCUCCACCGCUAUGAUGCUGCAUCUCUUCACGCAAGCUACAGUAAUGUGUUUUUUUGUGCUGGUCAGCGCUCAGCCCGAGGACUACAGGGUGACCGAGAGAGCUUAUGUGGUCCUGCAGAAGCAGAAUUUAGUCGCACUGGGGAGUGUCCUGGCUGUGCUGCUGUUGCUGAUGAUUAUUAUGGCUGUCUGUGUCUACAAACCGCUGUCUCGUCGCUGACAUCUUGGAGGAGAUAUGAACCGAGAGACUAUCCUAUUCUCUCUCUGAAUAACUACACCUGCUCCAGUACCGUGUAUCCAUCUCCAGCUGGGACCGGACUGAGGGGAAAGCAGAACCCUGCCACCUAGCUGCCAAAAAGCCUAACUAGACCUACCCAGUGUGCACAUUAAAUUCGAAAUCUUUACUGGGCUUUAAUUUAUCACGAUCUCAGGUCACGUAACAAUGUCAUUUGAAGUGUACACAGGCACACCUAGAGUGGAGUUCAAAGAUCUGAGACUGGGUCUCACGUUAUCAGCAGAAAACUGCUUUGCUGCUAUCACCUAUUUCACCUCUAGGCAAAGCUCAGUGGAGAUCAUGAAUAGACAAAGUUUCUAAGGGGGCAGUGAUACCAUGCACUUCAUUACAGUCUAAAACUUUGCAGAAACUGGAUCAGUUUUAUCCAAACCUCAUUUCAUUUCAGCAUUUGUUCACUGUCACUUAAAAGCAACUUCCUCGCAGGUAAAUAAGUUUCUAAAUAAACAAUACCAGACUCCAAAAACUGCAGUUGAAAUAACCACGUCAAGUCUUGGUCGCAGAGGAAGAGUGGUGAUCUCCAAACAGUUUCUUUGGGGUUGGGAAGCUUUGAAUGUUUGAGAUUUGUGUCAGUAGCAGGGUACACAGGGCGAGUACACAGGGCGAGAGAGGGAUAAUGGUGUAUGAAACCAAAAGUGACACAUGGUGGUGAAAAUAUUCAAGCUUCUCUUGAGAUGGACACCUGUGCUGAGCUGACUCCACCCUGACUCAGGAGAAGUGCCACUGUGUUCAUCAGAGAUGUCCUCCACCCUCUGGUUUUGGAGAAGAUUAAUACUGCUGCAGGAUAAUGAGCCUACUUGACUACUUGAAGACAGGGAAAGACAUCACAAGAAGCUCCGCGGAUCAUUUGCAUCAAUAGCUGUUUUGAAUUAAAACAGUGGUCGAUAUUCUAAAUGUACAUACAGUUUUAAGGCUUUUAGACCCCACUGAAUAUUAGUUCAUUUAAAAUUGCUUCUGUGAAAAGAGGGAAAUUAAAUUGAUUUUAAAAUGCUCACCAAAUUACACGACUAGUAAUCUGGGCCCUUACAUAUUGAAUGCCACAUUUUAUUUAUUUGGGCUUCAAACCUGGAAAUGUUGUUAAUAGGUGUAUUUUUUUUUUCUUGAUGAAAAGCGAGUUAUUUUGAUGCAACCAUUAAAUUUUGGGAUUACAAAGUGA